UAGAAAUUAGAAAAUCAGUUGGAAUUACCUUUUGUCAUUUAGAAUACAAAGGAAAAUAUCAGUACUUCCAAAAAAUAAUGAGUAUGUUAACCAAUUUUCCUAUACGUUUCAAACACCAGAAAAUGCAAAAAACAUUUUUCGUGAAACAAACAGGCUUGAAAGGGAAAAAAAAAAUUCAUAGGUGUUUACAAAGACCUUCGAAAUUUUGCUCAUCCAACAAGGAUUACAGAUUCCAAAUAAUUCUGAACAAUUAGCAAAAGAAACUUGUACUAAACAAAUAAAUCCAAAAUUCUGAAAUCCCUUAGAAACUCUGAUCUAAGGUAAAAUUAUCAAUAGAACUCUGUUUUGCAGGAUAAAAUAAAAAUUUCAACUACCACGAUUAAAUACAAUAGGCAGCUCAUUUCCAUCUUUUGUUCAGAGGGAUUCCCUCAUGGGACUUCCAUUCAGAGAAAAGUAGGCAGCUAAUUUCAAUCUUUUGUUUCUGGUUUCAAGGGAUUUCCUCUUCUGUGUCUCACUUUCUCUCAACUAUGAAUCUAAAAUUUUCUAUUUACAAAUCUUUCAUUUCUUGAGCUAAGAACAUUAAUUAGUGAAAGUUUUAUUAAAGUGAAGGAGAGCAAUCUACAUCCAUAUUUUGCAAAGGGUG
rnacentral:misc_RNA from 1 species